rnacentral:rRNA from 1 species
GCUCUUGAUUGAAGUCCCAGUAAACGGCGGCCGUAACUAUAACGGUCCUAAGGUAGCGAAAUUCCUUGUCGGGUAAGUUCCGACCUGCACGAAUGGCGUAACGAUGGCCACACUGUCUCCUCCCGAGACUCAGCGAAGUUGAAAUGUUUGUGAUGAUGCAAUCUACCCGCGGCUAGACGGAAAGACCCCAUGAACCUUUACUGUAGCUUUGCAUUGGACUUUGAACCAAUCUGUGUAGGAUAGGUGGGAGGCUUUGAAGCAGGGACGCUAGUCUCUGUGGAGCCAACCUUGAAAUACCACCCUGGUUUGUUUGAGGUUCUAACCUUGGUCCGUUAUCCGGAUCGGGGACAGUGCAUGGUAGGCAGUUUGACUGGGGCGGUCUCCUCCCAAAGUGUAACGGAGGAGUUCGAAGGUACGCUAGGUACGGUCGGACAUCGUGCUAAUAGUGCAAUGGCAUAAGCGUGCUUAACUGCGAGACUGACAAGUCGAGCAGGUACGAAAGUAGGACAUAGUGAUCCGGUGGUUCUGUAUGGAAGGGCCAUCGCUCAACGGAUAAAAGGUACUCUGGGGAUAACAGGCUGAUUCCUCCCAAGAGUUCAUAUCGACGGGGGAGUUUGGCACCUCGAUGUCGGCUCAUCACAUCCUGGGGCUGUAGCCGGUCCCAAGGGUAUGGCUGUUCGCCAUUUAAAGUGGUACGUGAGCUGGGUUUAAAACGUCGUGAGACAGUUUGGUCCCUAUCUGCCGUGGGCGUUGGAAGUUUGAAGGGGGCUGCUCCUAGUACGAGAGGACCGGAGUGGACGAACCUCUGGUGUAUCGGUUGUCACGCCAGUGGCAUUGCCGAGUAGCUAAGUUCGGAAGAGAUAACCGCUGAAAGCAUCUAAGCGGGAAACUCGCCUUGAGAUGAGACUUCCCGGGAACUAGAUUCCCCUAAAGGGUCGUUCGAGACCAGGACGUUGAUAGGUCAGGUGUGGAAGCGCAGUAAUGCGUUAAGCUAACUGAUACUAAUUGCCCGUGCGGCUUGUUCCU